rnacentral:rRNA from 1 species
GCUGCUUUCACGUGGAUUCAAGCAAACUUUGCGCAUUGCCCUGCGGAUGCCACUGAUGAUGUGAUACAGACACAUGCUCGUGUCUAUAUGUGGUACGUUGUCUUGAGGACUUUGUUUCCUGACUCCACAGGCAAGAACGCUCCAUGGAUGUGGCUUAAGGCGUUGACCGUCUUUGAUAGCGGAUGGAGCUAG